UAAGCAUAUCAAUAAGCGGAGGAAAAGAAACCAACAGGGAUUGCCCUAGUAACGGCGAGUGAAGCGGCAACAGCUCAAAUUUGAAAUCUGGCUCUUUUAGAGUCCGAGUUGUAAUUUGCAGAGGGCGCUUUGGCUUUGGCAGCGGUCCAAGUUCCUUGGAACAGGACGUCACAGAGGGUGAGAAUCCCGUACGUGGUCGCUAGCUAUUGCCGUGUAAAGCCCCUUCGACGAGUCGAGUUGUUUGGGAAUGCAGCUCUAAAUGGGAGGUAAAUUUCUUCUAAAGCUAAAUACUGGCCAGAGACCGAUAGCGCACAAGUAGAGUGAUCGAAAGAUGAAAAGCACUUUGGAAAGAGAGUCAAACAGCACGUGAAAUUGUUGAAAGGGAAGCGCUUGCAGCCAGACUUGCUUGCAGUUGCUCAUCCGGGCUCUUUUGCCCGGUGCAUUCUUCUGCAGGCAGGCCAGCAUCAGUUUGGGCGGUGGGAUAAAGGUCUCUGUCACGUACCUCUCUUCGGGGAGGCCUUAUAGGGGAGACGACAUACCACCAGCCUGGACUGAGGUCCGCGCAUUUAUGCUAGGAUGCUGGCGUAAUGGCUGUAAGCGGCCCGUCUUGAAACACGGACCAAGGAGUCUAACAUCUAUGCGAGUGUUUGGGUGUCAAGCCCGAACGCGUAAUGAAAGUGAACGGAGGUGGGAACCCGCAAGGGUGCACCAUCGACCGAUCCUGAUGUCUUCGGAAGGAUUUGAGUAAGAGCAUGGCUGUUGGGACCCGAAAGAUGGUGAACUAUGCUUGAAUAGGGUGAAGCCAGAGGAAACUCUGGUGGAGGCUCGCAGCGGUUCUGACGUGCAAAUCGAUCGUCAAAUUUGGGCAUAGGGGCGAAAGACUAAUCGAACUAUCUAGUAGCUGGUUCCUGCCGAAG
rnacentral:rRNA from 1 species